UACGUAGGGUGCAAGCGUUAUCCGGAAUUAUUGGGCGUAAAGAGCUCGUAGGCGGUUUGUCGCGUCUGCUGUGAAAAUCCGGGGCUCAACCCCGGACUUGCAGUGGGUACGGGCAGACUAGAGUGUGGUAGGGGAGACUGGAAUUCCUGGUGUAGCGGUGGAAUGCGCAGAUAUCAGGAGGAACACCGAUGGCGAAGGCAGGUCUCUGGGCCAUUACUGACGCUGAGAAGCGAAAGCAUGGGGAGCGAACAGG
rnacentral:rRNA from 1 species